CCCUUAGAUGUUCUGGGCCGCACGCGCGCUACACUGACGGAUUCAACGAGCUUACAACCUUGGCCGAAAGGUCUGGGUAAUCUCCAAAAUCCGUCGUGAUGGGGAUAGAUUAUUGCAAUUAUUAAUCUUCAACGAGGAAUGCCUAGUAAGCGCAAGUCAUCAGCUUGCGUUGAUUACGUCCCUGCCCUUUGUACACACCGCCCGUCGCUCCUACCGAUUGAACGGUUUAGUGAGGGCCUCGGAUUGGUCUCGGCCCGCUCUUUACCGGGCGGCGCCGUUGGUCGAGAAGACGCUCGAACUUGAUCGUUUAGAGGAAGUAAAAGUCGUAACA
rnacentral:rRNA from 1 species